rnacentral:lncRNA from 1 species
AAAAUCCAAAAUCACUGCUUUAUUUAUAAAAACACCGGCUGAAAAAAAACUUGGUGAAAGUAUAAACAUAAAACAUAACUGUAGCAGCAUUUAAUAUAGAGGGUCAUGAAUUGUUAAACCACUACUAAAUUUCUUGAGGUUUCGAUCCACUCUUCUUUUGAUAAUAAUCGAAUGAUUCUUCUUAGUUUGCUUCAAAGAUCUCAGCCAAGAGAACGUAG